rnacentral:sRNA from 1 species
UAUUAUGCGAAAUUGCAUUUAUCAUCACAAAGUGUGCUAAUUGAGACUGCAAAAAACAUACUAAAUAUUAAUAAACUGGUUCCUAUUUACAUCAACCCAAAAACUAUACUUUUUCCGUUAAA